UUUCGAUUGUAACUGGGACAAUUUGCAUAGUGAUUCCCUUUCAGAGCUUUCUCGGGCCCAUAACAAGCGCAGGCAGCUAUUCAAAUGCAAGUUGCGUCCCUAAAUGCGCGGCUGGCCUGAGCUAAAGGAGCAGCUCGUCACCGUGCGAGCCGAGACCAGCGUUGGGGUUCUGGGUCACCUCUUUUCUCUCGGCUUUUCCCUCGCUCUCCGGUUCCUGAAUUAGCUGUUUGUUUAUGGCUCCAGAAGUGUGUGUGCCAGCGAGCCGAGGCAGCGCGCAAGGGAGAGAAUUGAUCUUUCCUCAGACUCAAAGCUGGAGCCGAAGAAGUGCGGGGGAUUUGGGGGUUCUGAGUGGGACUCAGACCCUAGGUGCUGAGGGGAAGCCCGUGGGCUCUCUGGCCCGCUUCUCUAACCCCAGCGACCUUGCAGGAAUCCUCAGGCCUGAGAGCGCCCGGGCUCUGGGCUUUGCAGAAAGUGGCGGCGGUUGUGUCCCGGGUUUUAAAAUCAACGCAAAGGAAAGGAGGCAAAGCUGAAAGCUUGUCGCGUGUCAGAAGCAGCCUGCCGUGAAAUCCGCUAAUGCGCCCCGACUCGCCCUUCGCGGAACAGUCGUUCAAGAAGAGAUGGCCAUAAGGGCAGAUCAAUCAUUUCAAUGGGAUUAAAAUAUGGUGGAAGGAACAGUUGAGCUGAGAUUAUUUCAACCCAUCCUUUGGUCUUACAAGAGAUGCAAGCACUCUAUACUACUGGAAAAGAGUUCAAGAAAGAAAAGAGAAGAAAAGAAAAGAAGGAAGGUAGAUUUGGUUUCUAGAAAAUAUUUUGUACUUGAGUGUAUCUGAAGCAAUGAUAAAUAAAUUAAACUAGUAUUA
rnacentral:lncRNA from 1 species